rnacentral:rRNA from 1 species
UACGUAGGGCGCAAGCGUUGUCCGGAAUUAUUGGGCGUAAAGAGCUCGUAGGCGGCUUGUCACGUCGGAUGUGAAAGCCCGGGGCUUAACCCCGGGUCUGCAUUCGAUACGGGCAGGCUAGAGUGUGGUAGGGGAGAUCGGAAUUCCUGGUGUAGCGGUGAAAUGCGCAGAUAUCAGGAGGAACACCGGUGGCGAAGGCGGAUCUCUGGGCCAUUACUGACGCUGAGGAGCGAAAGCGUGGGGAGCGAACAGGAAUAGAUACCGUGUAGCU